rnacentral:rRNA from 1 species
GUGGGGAAUAUUGGACAAUGGGCGCAAGCCUGAUCCAGCCAUGUCGCGUGAGUGAUGAAGGCCCUAGGGUUGUAAAGCUCUUUCACCGGUGAAGAUAAUGACGGUAACCGGAGAAGAAGCCCCGGCUAACUUCGUGCCAGCAGCCGCGGUAAUACGAAGGGGGCUAGCGUUGUUCGGAAUUACUGGGCGUAAAGCGCACGUAGGCGGACAUUUAAGUCAGGGGUGAAAUCCCGGGGCUCAACCCCGGAACUGCCUUUGAUACUUGGUGUCUGGAGUAUGGAAGAGGUAAGUGGAAUUCCGAGUGUAGAGGUGAAAUUCGUAGAUAUUCGGAGGAACACCAGUGGCGAAGGCGGCUUACUGGUCCAUUACUGACGCUGAGGUGCGAAAGCGUGGGGAGCAAACAGGAUUAGAAACCCGGGUAGUCC